CAGUCGCCACGGGAACACGAAGGGGGCUAGCGUUGUUCGGAAUUACUGGGCGUAAAGCGCACGUAGGCGGAUAUUUAAGUCAGGGGUGAAAUCCCGCAGCUCAACUGCGGAACUGCCUUUGAUACUGGGUAUCUUGAGUAUGGAAGAGGUUAGUGGAAUUGCGAGUGUAGAGGUGAAAUUCGUAGAUAUUCGCAGGAACACCAGUGGCGAAGGCGGCUAACUGGUCCAUAACUGACGCUGAGGUGCGAAAGCGUGGGGAGCAAACAGGAUUAGAUACCCGGGUAGUCCCUGUCUCUUAUAC
rnacentral:rRNA from 1 species